UACGUAGGGUGCAAGCGUUGUCCGGAAUUAUUGGGCGUAAAGAGCUCGUAGGCGGUUUGUCGCGUCUGCUGUGAAAACUGGGGGCUCAACCCCCAGCCUGCAGUGGGUACGGGCAGACUAGAGUGCGGUAGGGGAGAUUGGAAUUCCUGGUGUAGCGGUGGAAUGCGCAGAUAUCAGGAGGAACACCGGUGGCGAAGGCGGGUCUCUGGGCAACUACUGACGCUGAGGAGCGAAAGCGUGGGGAGCGAACAGG
rnacentral:rRNA from 1 species